ensembl:lncRNA
CGGGGGUCCUCAUGAGGGGCCUUCACAAAGGGAACUAGACUGUCCAGUGGGGCUGGAUGGGAGCCAAGGUCCAGUCCCACUGGGCACCCCAGGCUCCUACUGUCCCUGAGAGGCAGGCACCCUAUAAUCCCCCCAACCCACAGAAAAGGAGACAGAGGCCCCUGUGGGGUGGCUGGCUGGGGCUGAAGCCUGGAGCCAGGGUGUGAGUCAAAUAAACAGCAAGCUCCCGUCUGGCCUGGGCAGGGGGGCCGGGGUGGGGAGCGGUCGAGGGGCUGUGCUGGAGCCACCCACUCUGUUUAUGUUCCUGCCCUGGCGUGUUUAACUCGGCAGUGAUUUAUCCCUCUAUUUAUAAAUGAAGGGUUAACGGCCCUACCCCCACCCUAGAGCUGGGCUGACCCUCCAAAUAAGGGCAAUUCUGGCUUUUUCAGGAGAAAGGAGAAGCCUUUGGGGUAAGGGAGGGUGGGGAGGCUCGUGGGCUGUUUCUUCUGCACAGCGCCCCUCCCCCACCUGCUGGAGAAGGGAGGGCCCUUGCCCCCUCCCCUCCUGGUGGCUGCCUGCUGUAAACACGCUGCGCCCGCCACUCCCUCUGACCAGUGCGUGGCCCCAUCCCACCCCUGGGGAACAAUGAGCCCUGACUUCAAACAGCCCCUGGCCUGGCUCAGGGCAGCAAAGAACUCUUGCUUUCAGAGGGCCAGGUCCCUCCAGUGGGCGGCCACCUUCUUCCUCAGGGUCAGAGAGGUCAGUGCCUGCAUGAGGUCACCCAGCAUGCCCUCUGCCUCUGGGACCCCAGCCCUGGGUGCGUGCUACCCUGGAGGCUGCUGGGAGGAGUCAAGUGCUGCCCAAGCCUGUGUCCAGCCCCUCCUGCCACCCCCACCACACAAGGGCCCAGGCUCAGCUCCCAGCUCCCCCCGACUGCAAGCAAGCUCUCUAUCCCCAGGCCCUGAGACGCGGGCAUUGAUGGGUGCAUUUGUUGGAUGAAUAGAUCAGUCCUCCCUCAGUCCUGGUGGGCCACCAGAGUCAGGGGGUUUGGGCCACAGCAGGCAGCCAGGGGAGGGGAGGUGGCUGGGCACAUGGGGGCUGGGAACCUGGCGUCUCGAGGCUGUGGGCUUCAGGAGCCCCAGAAGGUCCCCGGAAGGAGAUGGGUCCCUCCUCUGCUGUGGAUGAAACACUGUCAGGAAAGGUCCAGGAGGCUCCGCAGCUGGACUGAGAGACUGCAGGGCCAAAAAACUAUUUUGGGAUUCCUUUCUGUGUGCCUUUUGCUUUUCCAAUUUGUCUGUACGGGGCCUAUAUUAGUGUCCCAAUUAGAGAGAAAUCGUAAACAACACAGAACGUUUCCUCUGGGAGCGAGUCCCAGGGUGACCCUGGCCCCUGGGGAUUCUGCCCUCCCAGAAAACUCCCCAGGGCCAGCCCAUCAGGCUCACCAACAACGCUGAGGUGUUGGGGUCCUGGCUAGGGAUGUGGGGGCUCUGCAGCCUCUGGAGCUGGGGGGAUGGGCAGAAUGUGCCAGACACCCCAGAGGCCACAAUGGUGAGGAGAGGGAGCUAGCAAAGCAUGCACUGAUUCCCAACACUAAGGGUCUGACCCUGAUCUCAAACAAAGCUGAGCCCUCAUCUUGGUGACACACUGAGCCAUGAUCCCAGUAAGGUGAUGAACCUCGGUCCCUGUCCCACUCUGAGCCUGACCCUGGUCACACACUGACCCCAAUCCUAAUAGCACAAUGUGGCCGGGCGCGGUGGCUCACGCCUGUAAUCCCAGCACUUUGGGAGGCCGAGGCGGGCGGAUCACAAGGUCAGGAGAUCGAGACUAUCUUGGCUAACAUGGUGAAACCCUGUCUCUGCUAAAAAUACAAAAAAUUAGCCGAGCGCGGUGGCAGGCGCCUGUAGUCCCAGCUACUUCGGAGGCUGAGACAGGAGAAUGGCAUGAACCCGGGAGGCGGAGCUUGCAGUGAGCCGAGAUCGCGCCACUGCACUCCAGCCUGG